rnacentral:rRNA from 1 species
GUCGAGAGGCUUUGGCAAUGGGGGAAACCCUGACCAAGCGACGCCGCGUGGAGGAUGAAGGCCCUUGGGUUGUAAACUCCUUUUGUCGGGGAAGAAACACGAUCAGGUGAACAAUCUGGUCGUUUGACGGUACCCGGCGAAUAAGCUCCGGCUAACUCCGUGCCAGCAGCCGCGGUAACACGGGGGGAGCAAGCGUUGUUCGGAAUCACUGGGCGUAAAGGGCGUGUAGGCGGUCAGGUAAGUGAGAUGUGAAAUGCCCCGGCUCACCCGGGGACCGGCAUCUCAUACUGCUUGGCUUGAGUACGGGAGAGGGUGUGGGAAUUCCUGGUGUAGCGGUGAAAUGCGUAGAUAUCAGGAGGAACACCGGUGGCGAAGGCGCACACCUGGCCCGAUACUGACGCUGAGGCGCGAAAGCUAGGGGAGCAAACGGGAUUAGAAACCCCUGUAGUCC